rnacentral:rRNA from 1 species
UACGUAGGGGGCAAGCGUUGUCCGGAAUCACUGGGCGUAAAGCGCACGUAGGCGGAUUCCUAAGUCGGGGGUGAAAUCCUGGAGCUCAACUCCAGAACUGCCUUCGAUACUGGGAAUCUUGAGUCCGGAAGAGGUGAGUGGAACUGCGAGUGUAGAGGUGAAAUUCGUAGAUAUUCGCAAGAACACCAGUGGCGAAGGCGGCUCACUGGUCCGGUACUGACGCUGAGGUGCGAAAGCGUGGGGAGCAAACAGG